rnacentral:ncRNA from 1 species
AUGGAGGAACCGAAAAUCCCAAAUAGAGUAGGAA